UACGUAGGUGGCAAGCGUUGUCCGGAUUUACUGGGCGUAAAGAGCGCGCAGGCGGUCGAUCAAGUCGCGUGUGAAAGCCCCCCGGCUCAACUGGGGAGGGUCACGCGAUACUGAUCGACUCGAAGGCAGGAGAGGGUAGUGGAAUUCCCGGUGUAGUGGUGAAAUGCGUAGAUAAUCGGGAGGAACACCAGUGGCGAAGGCGACUACCUGGCCUGUUCUUGACGCUGAGGCGCGAAAGCUAGGGGAGCAAACGGGG
rnacentral:rRNA from 1 species